GCGGUGGAUGAUGUGGAUUAAUUCGAUGCAGCGCGAAAACCUUACCUACCUUGACAUGUCUGGAACCUUGGUGAGAGCCGAGGGUGCCUUCGGGAGCCAGAACACAGGUGCUGCAUGGCUGUCGUCAGCUCGUGUCGUGAGAUGUUGGGUUAAGUCCCGCAACGAGCGCAACCCUUGCCAUUAGUUGCUACGAAAGGGCACUCUAAUGGGACUGCCGGUGACAAACCGGAGGAAGGUGGGGAUGACGUCAAGUCCUCAUGGCCCUUAUAGGUGGGGCUACACACGUCAUACAAUGGCCGGUACAGAGGGUAGCCAACCCGCGAGGGGGGAGCCAAUCCCACAAAGCCGGUCGUAGUCCGGAUCGCAGUCUGCAACUCGACUGCGUGAAGUCGGAAUCGCUAGUAAUCGCGGAUCAGCAUGUCGCGGUGAAUACGUUCCCGGGUCUU
rnacentral:rRNA from 1 species